AUUGGAAACGAUGGCUAAUACCGCAUGAUGCCUACGGGCCAAAGAGGGGGACCUUCGGGCCUCUCGCGUCAGGAUAUGCCUAGGUGGGAUUAGCUAGUUGGUGAGGUAAGGGCUCACCAAGGCGACGAUCCCUAGCUGGUCUGAGAGGAUGAUCAGCCACACUGGAACUGAGACACGGUCCAGACUCCUACGGGAGGCAGCAGUGGGGAAUAUUGCACAAUGGGCGCAAGCCUGAUGCAGCCAUGCCGCGUGUGUGAAGAAGGCCUUCGGGUUGUAAAGCACUUUCAGUCGUGAGGAAGGUGGUGUAGUUAAUAGCUGCAUUAUUUGACGUUAGCGACAGAAGAAGCACCGGCUAACUCCGUGCCAGCAGCCGCGGUAAUACGGAGGGUGCGAGCGUUAAUCGGAAUUACUGGGCGUAAAGCGCAUGCAGGUGGUUUGUUAAGUCAGAUGUGAAAGCCCGGGGCUCAACCUCGGAAUAGCAUUUGAAACUGGCAGACUAGAGUACUGUAGAGGGGGGUAGAAUUUCAGGUGUAGCGGUGAAAUGCGUAGAGAUCUGAAGGAAUACCGGUGGCGAAGGCGGCCCCCUGGACAGAUACUGACACUCAGAUGCGAAAGCGUGGGGAGCAAACAGGAUUAGAUACCCUGGUAGUCCACGCCGUAAACGAUGUCUACUUGGAGGUUGUGGCCUUGAGCCGUGGCUUUCGGAGCUAACGCGUUAAGUAGACCGCCUGGGGAGUACGGUCGCAAGAUUAAAACUCAAAUGAAUUGACGGGGGCCCGCACAAGCGGUGGAGCAUGUGGUUUAAUUCGAUGCAACGCGAAGAACCUUACCUACUCUUGACAUCCAGAGAACUUUCCAGAGAUGGAUUGGUGCCUUCGGGAACUCUGAGACAGGUGCUGCAUGGCUGUCGUCAGCUCGUGUUGUGAAAUGUUGGGUUAAGUCCCGCAACGAGCGCAACCCUUAUCCUUGUUUGCCAGCGAGUAAUGUCGGGAACUCCAGGGAGACUGCCGGUGAUAAACCGGAGGAAGGUGGGGACGACGUCAAGUCAUCAUGGCCCUUACGAGUAGGGCUACACACGUGCUACAAUGGCGCAUACAGAGGGCGGCCAACUUGCGAAAGUGAGCGAAUCCCAAAAAGUGCGUCGUAGUCCGGAUUGGAGUCUGCAACUCGACUCCAUGAAGUCGGAAUCGCUAGUAAUCGUGGAUCAGAAUGCCACGGUGAAUACGUUCCCGGGCCUUGUACACACCGCCCGUCACACCAU
rnacentral:rRNA from 1 species